rnacentral:misc_RNA from 1 species
GUGAAUCAUCAAAUUUUUGAACGCAAAUUGCGCCUUCUUCGGAAGGCAUGUCUGUUUGAGGGCACCCUUUAACAAAUUCUGUACAUUUCGUGUGCACCCGUUGCGGUGCUUUCCAAAAUUAUGUACUUUAAUUUUUGGUUGAGCAUAAUAAACAGCGUGUUGCUGUUUUUCUGUUCGUGUGUAGUAAAUUUUUCUUUUGCUUGGUUUGUGAAAGGCGUUAUCAGGCAUUGU